AGGGGUAUAGCUCAGGGGUAGAGUGUGUGCUUAGCGUGCACAAGGUCCUGGGUUCAAUCCUCAGUACCUCCA
rnacentral:tRNA from 1 species